UAGGGAAUCUUCGGCAAUGGACGAAAGUCUGACCGAGCAACGCCGCGUGAGUGAAGAAGGUUUUCGGAUCGUAAAACUCCGUUGUUAGAGAAGAACAAGGACGUUAGUAACUGAACGUCCCCUGACGGUAUCUAACCAGAAAGCCACGGCUAACUACGUGCCAGCAGCCGCGGUAAUACGUAGGUGGCCAGCGUUGUUCGGAUUUAUUGGGCGUAAAGCGAGCGCAGGCGGUUUCUUAAGUCUGAUGUGAAAGCCCCCGGCUCAACCGGGGAGGGUCAUUGGAAACUGGGAGACUUGAGUGCAGAAGAGGAGAGUGGAAUUCCAUGUGUAGCGGUGAAAUGCGUAGAUAUAUGGAGGAACACCAGUGGCGAAGGCGGCUCUCUGGUCUGUAACUGACGCUGAGGCUCGAAAGCGUGGGGAGCAAACAGG
rnacentral:rRNA from 1 species